rnacentral:rRNA from 1 species
GAUGAACGCUGGCGGCGUGCCUAAUACAUGCAAGUCGAACGCAUAGCGAAAGGUGCUUGCACCUUUCACGUGCGUGGCGAACGGGUGAGUAACACGUGGACAACCUGCCUCAAGGCUGGGGAUAACAUUUGGAAACAGAUGCUAAUACCGAAUAAAACUUAGUGUCGCAUGACACAAAGUUAAAAGGCGCUUCGGCGUCACCUAGAGAUGGAUCCGCGGUGCAUUAGUUAGUUGGUGGGGUAAAGGCCUACCAAGACAAUGAUGCAUAGCCGAGUUGAGAGACUGAUCGGCCACAUUGGGACUGAGACACGGCCCAAACUCCUACGGGAGGCUGCAGUAGGGAAUCUUCCACAAUGGGCGAAAGCCUGAUGGAGCAACGCCGCGUGUGUGAUGAAGGCUUUCGGGUCGUAAAGCACUGUUGUAUGGGAAGAACAGCUAGAAUAGGAAAUGAUUUUAGUUUGACGGUACCAUACCAGAAAGGGACGGCUAAAUACGUG